GAUGAACGCUGGCGGCGUGCCUAAUACAUGCAAGUCGAGCGAAUGGAUUAAGAGCUUGCUCUUAUGAAGUUAGCGGCGGACGGGUGAGUAACACGUGGGUAACCUGCCCAUAAGACUGGGAUAACUCCGGGACACCGGGGCUAAUACCGGAUAACAUUUUGAACCGCAUGGUUCGAAAUUGAAAGGCGGCUUCGGCUGUCACUUAUGGAUGGACCCGCGUCGCAUUAGCUAGUUGGUGAGGUAACGGCUCACCAAGGCAACGAGGCGUAGCCGACCUGAGAGGGUGAUCGGCCACACUGGGACUGAGACACGGCCCAGACUCCUGCGGGAGGCAGCAGUAGGGAAUCUUCCGCAAUGGACGAAAGUCUGACGGAGCAACGCCGCGUGAGUGAUGAAGGCUUUCGGGUCGUAAAACUCUGUUGUUAGGGAAGAACAAGUGCUAGUUGAAUAAGCUGGCACCUUGACGGUACCUAACCAGAAAGCCACGGCUAACUACGUGCCAGCAGCCGCCGUAA
rnacentral:rRNA from 1 species